rnacentral:rRNA from 1 species
GAGUUUGAUCCUGGCUCAGAAUGAACGCUGGCGGUAUGCUUAACACAUGCAAGUCGAACGAACAAAGCUGGAGCUUGCUUCAGCCGCGUGAGUGGCAAACGGGUGAGUAACACGUGGGAAUCUACCCAUCAGUACGGAAUAACAUUUGGAAACAAAUGCUAAUACCGUAUAUUCUCUACGGAGGAAAGGUUUAUCGCUGAUGGAUGAGCCCGCGUAAGAUUAGGUAGUUGGUAGGGUAAUGGCCUACCAAGCCGACGAUCUUUAGCUGGUCUGAGAGGAUAAUCAGCCACACUGGGACUGAGACGCGGCCCAGACUCCUACGGGAGGCAGCAGUGGGGAAUAUUGGACAAUGGGCGAAAGCCUGAUCCAGCAAUACCGCGUGAAUGAUGAAGGCCUUAGGGUUGUAAAGUUCUUUUAAUAGGGAAGAUAAUGACGGUACCUAUAGAAAAAGCCCCGGCUAACUCCGUGCCAGCAGCCGCGGUAAGACGGAGGGGGCUAGCGUUAUUCGGAAUUACUGGGCGUAAAGGGCGCGUAGGCGGAUUAGUAAGUUGGGAGUGAAAGCCCGGGGCUUAACCUCGGAACUGCUUUCAAAACUGCUAGUCUUGAGUGAAGUAGGGGGUGAUGGAAUUCCUAGUGUAGAGGUGAAAUUCUUAGAUAUUAGGAGGAACACCGGUGGCGAAGGCGGUCACCUGGACUUCAACUGACGCUGAGGCGCGAAAGCGUGGGGAGCAAACAGGAUUAGAUACCCUGGUAGUCCACGCCGUAAACGAUGAGUGCUAGAUAUCGGGAAUUAAAUUUUCGGUUUCGCAGCUAACGCAUUAAGCACUCCGCCUGGGGACUGCGAUCGCAAGAUUAAAACUCAAAGGAAUGACG